rnacentral:rRNA from 1 species
UACGUAGGGUCCGAGCGUUGUCCGGAAUUAUUGGGCGUAAAGAGCUCGUAGGCGGUUUGUCGCGUCUGCUGUGAAAUCCCGAGGCUCAACCUCGGGCCUGCAGUGGGUACGGGCAGACUGGAGUGCGGUAGGGGAGAAUGGAAUUCCUGGUGUAGCGGUGGGAUGCGCAGAUAUCAGGAGGAACACCGAUGGCGAAGGCAGUUCUCUGGGCCGUAACUGACGCUGAGGAGCGAAAGCGUGGGGAGCGAACAGG